CGUAGGUGGCGAGCGUUGUCCGGAAUUAUUGGGCGUAAAGGGAGCGCAGGCGGGAGGUCAAAGUCUAUCUUAAAAAGUGCGGGGCUCAACCCCGUGAGGGGAUGGAAACUGGUCUUCUUGAGUGCAGGAGAGGAAAGCGGAAUUCCUAGUGUAGCGGUGAAAUGCGUAGAUAUUAGGAGGAACACCAGUGGCGAAGGCGGCUUUCUGGACUGUAACUGACGCUGAGGCUCGAAAGCGUGGGGAGCGA
rnacentral:rRNA from 1 species